GAUGAACGCUGGCGGCGUGCUUAACACAUGCAAGUCGAACGGAAAGGCCCAAGCUUGCUUGGGUACUCGAGUGGCGAACGGGUGAGUAACACGUGGGUGAUCUGCCCUGCACUUCGGGAUAAGCCUGGGAAACUGGGUCUAAUACCGGAUAGGACCACAUUUUGGAUGGUGUGGUGGAAAGUUUUUCGGUGUGGGAUGAGCUCGCGGCCUAUCAGCGUGUUGGUGGGGUAAUGGCCUACCAAGGCGUCGACGGGUAGCCGGCCUGAGAGGGUGUACGGCCACAUUGGGACUGAGAUACGGCCCAGACUCCUACGGGAGGCAGCAGUGGGGAAUAUUGCACAAUGGGCGCAAGCCUGAUGCAGCGACGCCGCGUGGGGGAUGACGGCCUUCGGGUUGUAAACUCCUUUCGCUAGGGACGAAGCGUUUUUGUGACGGUACCUGGAGAAGAAGCACCGGCUAACUACGUG
rnacentral:rRNA from 1 species